rnacentral:rRNA from 1 species
UGGCGAACGGGUGAGUAACACGUGGGUGAUCUGCCCUGCACUUUGGGAUAAGCCUGGGAAACUGGGUCUAAUACCAGAUAGGACCAUGCUUUGGAUGGUGUGGUGGAAAGUUUUUUCGGUGUGGGAUGAGCUUGCGGCCUAUCAGCUUGUUGGUGGGGUAAUGGCCUACCAAGGCGUCGACGGGUAGCCGGCCUGAGAGGGCGUACGGCCACAUUGGGACUGAGAUACGGCCCAG